UUAGCUUGCUAAGGCUGAUGGCGACCGGCGCACGGGUGAGUAACACGUAUCCAACCUGCCGUCUACUCUUGGCCAGCCGUCUGAAAGGAAGAUUAAUCCAGGAUGGGAUCAUGAGUUCACAUGUCCGCAUGAUUAAAGGUAUUUUCCGGUAGACGAUGGGGAUGCGUUCCAUUAGAUAGUAGGCGGGGUAACGGCCCACCUAGUCAACGAUGGAUAGGGGUUCUGAGAGGAAGGUCCCCCACAUUGGAACUGAGACACGGUCCAAACUCCUACGGGAGGCAGCAGUGAGGAAUAUUGGUCAAUGGGCGAUGGCCUGAACCAGCCAAGUAGCGUGAAGGAUGACUGCCCUAUGGGUUGUAAACUUCUUUUAUAAAGGAAUAAAGUCGGGUAUGCAUACCCGUUUGCAUGUACUUUAUGAAUAAGGAUCGGCUAACUCCGUGCCAGCAGCCGCGGUAAUACGGAGGAUCCGAGCGUUAUCCGGAUUUAUUGGGUUUAAAGGGAGCGUAGAUGGAUGUUUAAGUCAGUUGUGAAAGUUUGCGGCUCAACCGUAAAAUUGCAGUUGAUACUGGAUGUCUUGAGUGCAGUUGAGGCAGGCGGAAUUCGUGGUGUAGCGGUGAAAUGCUUAGAUAUCACGAAGAACUCCGAUUGCGAAGGCAG
rnacentral:rRNA from 1 species